rnacentral:rRNA from 1 species
GGGUUGUGAGGUUAAGCGACUAAGCGUACACGGUGGAUGCCCUGGCAGUCAGAGGCGAUGAAGGACGUGCUAAUCUGCGAUAAGCGUCGGUAAGGUGAUAUGAACCGUUAUAACCGGCGAUUUCCGAAUGGGGAAACCCAGUGCAAUUCGUUGCACUAUCGUUAAGUGAAUACAUAGCUUAACGAAGCGAACCGGGGGAACUGAAACAUCUAAGUACCCCGAGGAAAAGAAAUCAACCGAGAUUCCCCCAGUAGCGGCGAGCGAACGGGGAGGAGCCCAGAGUCUGAAUCAGCGCGUGUGUUAGUGGAACGGUCUGGAAAGUCCGGCGGUACAGGGUGAUAGCCCCGUACACUAAAAUGCACACGUUGUGAACUCGAAGAGUAGGGCGGGACACGUGGUA